rnacentral:rRNA from 1 species
GCAGUCGAGGGGCAGCAUCAAUUGCUUGCAAUUGGAUGGCGACCGGCGCACGGGUGCGUAACGCGUAUAGAAUCUGCCUUGUACAGGAGGAUAGCCUUUAGAAAUGAAGAUUAAUACUCCAUAAUACUGAUUUUUGGCAUCAUUAAUUAGUUAAAGAUUUAUCGGUACAAGAUGACUAUGCGUCCUAUUAGCUAGAUGGUGAGGUAACGGCUUACCAUGGCUACGAUAGGUAGGGGGUCUGAGAGGAUUAUCCCCCACACUGGUACUGAGACACGGACCAGACUCCUACGGGAGGCAGCAGUGAGGAAUAUUGGUCAAUGGGCGCAAGCCUGAACCAGCCAUGCCGCGUGUAGGAAGACUGCCCUAUGGGUUGUAAACUACUUUUAUAUGGGAAGAAACCCCUCUACGUGUAGAGGUUUGACGGUACCAUAAGAAUAAGCACCGGCUAACUCCGUGCCAGCAGCCGCGGUAAUACGGAGGGUGCAAGCGUUAUCCGGAAUCAUUGGGUUUAAAGGGUCCGCAGGCGGUCAAUUAAGUCAGAGGUGAAAUCCUGCAGCUUAACUGUAGAACUGCCUUUGAUACUGGUUGACUUGAGUUAUACGGAAGUAGGUAGAAUAAGUAGUGUAGCGGUGAAAUGCAUAGAUAUUACUUAGAAUACCGAUUGCGAAGGCAGCCUACUACGUAUAUACUGACGCUCAUGGACGAAAGCGUGGGGAGCGAACAGGAUUAGAUACCCUGGUAGUCCACGCCGUAAACGAUGGACACUAGUUGUUGGAUUAUUUCAGUGACUAAGCGAAAGUAAUAAGUGUCCCACCUGGGGAGUACGGUCGCAGAUUGAAACUCAAAGGAAUUGACGGGGGCC